AUCCUUCGGUUCAGGAGCAUGUUGAUUGGAUAUUCAUGCCUUAUGCAGAUGUGCCUCCCUAAAACCUUGUUACAACAUGGGCACAUUACCCAUCUGACU